CCUGGGCUGGCUGGUGCGUCAGGAUAUCAAUCCCCGGGGCCUUACCGAUCCUUAAGGGAACUGUCCCUGUCCGGGCUCGUGGGCCUGGACACACGGUACCCACCUACUUUGUAGGUUCCCGGGAUCGAAACCAUCCAACGGCCAAGCCGGCUCGCUG
rnacentral:other from 1 species